CAUUAUCAGGUGUUGAAGUAGCUGGUGUCCACCGUAUCUUACGGAGCAGUUAGACAAUCCCCAUUUCUCAUAUCUGGAGAACCCGGUAAUACCCGGAACACAUGUACAGAAGUGAUGAUAAAUCGGUGAAUGUUUCACCCAUUUGUCAUUUCCCUACUAAAAUAUAUUUUGAGAAUAAUUUAUUAGUGUAUUUAUAAUUCGUUUAACUCUGUUGUUGCAGGUUGACAUAUAUAAUGCUAAACACCGUAUGUCUGCAUACAUUGUCAGGUCUACACACACCGAGCAAGUUGUAUACAUUAGGUUAUACAGAAAUAGGCCCCCACGCAAAGUUAAAGUGCACGUCGCAAGGCAUGUUUGGAGUACCUGCUCGAUUUACCUUCAUUUUUAGCGUAUAUGUUACACAGACACACACAAACAUGCUGAACCAUCCUUUUCUUCCUGAAACACCUGUCACAACACUGGAUAUACAUGGUCAUGACCUACUGGGUUUUAUUUGCCACUCAAUUUGUCAAGAAUUAAAAAAAGUAAUGCGAUUUGCAUCUUUAUGAUCAAUAUUUUCAUAAAACCUGUGUAACGGUAGAUCAGCUUUGGCCCCCUCGCAUGACAGGGUCCCUGGAACCCAUACACCGGACCGUCAAAGCGAUCCAUAAUCGGAUUUGAUUGGCUGCGAUCAGAUAAGGGAUUGGAGCGAUGCCCAUCAAAUUCACAGCGAUUAAUUUCGCGACAACAAACGAUUAAUUGCAAUUACUAGCGGGUACUUGACAAUAUUCAAUUUUUUGAUCAUAUUUGGAUGUGUCAUAAGAUUUUUUGUGUGUGAUAUUUGCACUUAAUCGUCCUGGAAAGGUUCAGAAAAGGUCACAACGUUUGAAAAAUAAAGAAAUUCAGUUCAAAUUUAUCAAAUGCCUAUAAAACUCAAGGAAUGUUGAUCGAUGUAUGGAAAAUACUGUCAUAACAGUUCGUUAU